rnacentral:lncRNA from 1 species
ACCCAAUCACCAGGAACAAACACCACUUUCUUCCGUCUCCUAUUUGCCCUGUCAGCAUACACCUUGUUCCUCUUCUCGAUGUUAGACCUAGCCUUCUCAUGCAAGGACUUCACCAAUUCUGCCUUUUUAGUACCAUCUAAGCUAGCAAGCUCAUGUAAAGGUAAAGGAACAAGAUCAAGUACAGUUAGUGGGUUAAAACCAUAAACAAGCUC